rnacentral:rRNA from 1 species
ACUCCUACGGGACGCAGCAGUAGGGAAUCUUCCACAAUGGACGAAAGUCUGAUGGAGCAACGCCGCGUGAGUGAAGAAGGGUUUCGGCUCGUAAAGCUCUGGUGGUAGUGAAGAAAGAUAGAGGUAGUAACUGGCCUUUAUUUGACGGUAAUUACUUAGAAAGUCACGGCUAACUUCGUGCCAGCAGCCGCGGUAAUACGGAGGUGGCCAGCGUUUUUCGGAUUUUUUGGGCGUAAAGCGAG